rnacentral:rRNA from 1 species
UACAGAGGGGGCAAGCGUUAUUCGGAAUUAUUGGGCGUAAAGGGCGCGUAGGCGGCUUGGCAAGUGGAAGGUGAAAUCCCUCGGCUUAACCGAGGAACUGCCCUCCAAACUGCUUUGCUUGAGGCCGGGAGAGGCGAGUGGAAUUCCCAGUGUAGCGGUGAAAUGCGUAGAUAUUGGGAGGAACACCAGUGGCGAAGGCGGCUCACUGGACCGGAACUGACGCUGAUGCGCGAAAGCGUGGGGAGCAAACGGG